rnacentral:rRNA from 1 species
GACGAACGCUGGCGGCGUGCUUAACACAUGCAAGUCGAACGGAAAGGCCCCUUUGGGGGUACUCGCGUGGCGAACGGGGGAGUAACACGUGAGUAACCUGCCCUUGACUUCGGGAUAACUUCAGGAAACUGGGGCUAAUACCGGAUAGGAAUCCUUGCUGCAUGGUGGGGGUUGGAAAGCUUCGGCGGUUUUGGAUGGACUCGCGGCUUAUCAGCUUGUUGGUGGGGUAGUGGCUUACCAAGGCUUUGACGGGUAGCCGGCCUGAGAGGGCGACCGGCCACAUUGGGACUGAGAGACGGCCCAGACGCCGACGGGUGGCAGCAGUGGGGAAUAUUGCACAAUGGGCGGCAGCCUGAUGCAGCAACGCCGCGUGCGGGAUGACGGCCUUCGGGUUGUAAACCGCUUUCAGCAGGGGCGAAGCGGGUGGUGACGGUACCUGCAGAAGAAGCACCGGCUAACUACGUG